GGGCCCAAGUAAUGAGUGACUAUUGGGCUCAAUAAAGAUUUCAAAAGCCCGUUAUUAUCUAAUGAACUGAAUAGCGACUAUUCCGGUAACACAAAACACAAUUUAUCUCUCUCUACGCAUCAAUCAUCUCUUUUCGUUUGAAACUUCUUCUUAUAGAUCUGUGCGUUUUCGAAUGUUUAUGUUUUGCGAGAAAGGCUCCAUUUUUAACGAGUCAACAGCAGGCGCCACUUUUAAUGGUGACCUGACUGCUGCUUGGAGCCCAGAUCAAAUGCCAGAGGAAGACCCAUGAAACUUAUUUCUCAAUAGUUUCAUGAUUCAAUACUCUUGGCUACAUAUUAUUUAGAUUCUUUGGUUUUGUUUAUUUAGAAUAUGGAACUAAUCAUAACCUUGGGAAUUCGUAUAUGUAAGCUACUGUUUGAUUUCGAGCUUAGAAAUAUAGCAAAUUCAGAAUAUUGCUGCAAUGGAAUUUUACAGGGAAUGAUAUAAACCCUGACCUACUAUUUAUUGGCUGUAUUUCUCCCUGCGAGAGCUCAUUUUCCAUGUUUUUACUUUCAUCAAGUUCUUUUUCUGUUUUGGUUCCUGCUAUUGAUCAUUUGUAGAGGUGUAUGGUCCAAAUGGUUCUGCUUGCUGGUCCUGGAGUUCUGAUUUCUACCUUUUGUCUCGGAGCUCUUAUAACUAGCUUCAACAUUUUGGACUGUGAAUCAGUGACCUUUCUUUAAGUUACAAUUUUUCGAGUUAUGCUCUUGUAGCUCACUUUUCCAUAUAACUGGGACUGGAAAACAUCAUUGUUGCUUGGUGGCUGUUGUUGCUCUGCUAAAGGAGCUUGGUGCUAGUAAGAAAAUGACCACUUUAAUUGACGGGGAAUCUCUCAUGAACGAUGGAUGGGGUAUCGGUUGUGGUUUUCCAGUUAUUUUUCAAGAUGGUGAUGGGACAUAACUCUGAUUGGGGUUCUAUCAUCAGAUUUCUUGUUCAAAAUUCAUUCGGACCGUAUGGAUUAUUUUCCUUUGUUAGUUGUAUAGCUCAAGAGUGCGCUGGGGUUUCUGGAAUUUUGACUGGCAUGAUUUUGGGGAUGUGAGUCGUGCAUUUAAGGGUGACAGUCACCAGAGUCUGCAUCACUUCUGGGAAAUGGCCGCUUAUAUUGCAAAUACAUUAGCUUUUAUACUCAGGAAUCCAUCAUACUCACGUGGUCUGGAUUAAGGGGUGCUGUUUCGCUGUCGCUCGCUCUAUCUGUAAAAGUGAGUUCUGAAGAAAUGACAUUUCAUUCAUGCAAGAGCAAGAUCUACUAUUUCUAUCCAUGUUCCCAUUUCCUUUUCUCUGACAUACUUUUCAGCAAUCAAGUGGAAACCCAUAUCUCAGUUCGGAUACGGGAACAAGGUUUCUAUUCCUCACAGGUGGGAUUGUUUUCCUAACUUUGGUUGUUAAUGGAUCCACUACCCAAUUGCUCUUGCACCUUCUUCGCAUGGACACUUUAACGGCCACUAAGAAACGAAUAUUGGAGUAUACGAAGUUUGAAAUGAUGAAGACUGCUCUAAAAGCUUUUGCAAAUCUAGGAGAUGACGAGGAGCUUGGAUCUGCUGACUGGCCUACAGUUAUAAAACAUAUUUCAAGCUUGGAAUAUUUAGAAGGGAGACAAGUUAAUCCUCAAAAUGGGUACGAAGCUGGAAGUCUUGGCCCUAGGAAUAUAAUGGACAUACGUAUACGCUUCUUAAAUGGUGUCCAGGCAGCUUACUGGGAGAUGCUUGAUGAUGGGAGAAUAACACAAUGUACUGCUAAUGUUUUGAUGCAAUCAGUAGACGAGGCACUUGACCUUGUUUCUACCAGUUCUUUAAGCGACUGGAAUCUGCUUGUUACAUUUCCUCUGCAUUUCUCCGUGCCCAUAGGAUACAAUUGCAUGACUUUUUAGGUAACAGUAACAUUGCUUCUACUGUAAUCAAUGAAAGUGAGGUGGAAGGAGAAGAAGCAAAACAGUUCUUGGAAGAUGUCCGUGAUUCAUUUCCUCAGGUUUUGAGUGUUUUGAAAACAAGACAAGUAACACAUUAUGUGCUGAAUCAUCUAAAACCUUGAGAAGGUUGGACUGUUAGAGGGAAAAUAAGUUUCUCAUCUUCAAGAUGUUGUUCAGUCUGACUUGAAGAAGCUCCUGAGAAAUCCUCCUUUACUAAAACUUCCAAAUAUAGACGAUCUGAUCACCAGCAAUCCUUUAUCGAAAGAUCACUCAAGCUUCAGGAGUUUGGCCAUUGGCGAGACAGAAGCAUGAACUGAGACUUUAGGCAUCCUUGUAAGAAUCAACUAGAGGAGUCAUGAACUCGUUUGUGUGCUUAUACUCUUCUUCUUCUUCUUCUUUUUAUGACCAAAAACAAAAACAGUCCUUUCGUAUAUUUUUUACUUGUUGGUAUAGUUUUACUUGUAGAUUGUGGAUUUGUGAACAAAAAAGUUGGCAUUAUUUUCAUUUUAAACGCAUAUAUCUAAAUAAUUACGCUUAUCAAAGCAAAAA